rnacentral:rRNA from 1 species
UACGAAGGGGGCUAGCGUUGCUCGGAAUCACUGGGCGUAAAGGGUGCGUAGGCGGGUUUUAAGUCAGGGGUGAAAUCCUGGAGCUCAACUCCAGAACUGCCUUUGAUACUGAAGAUCUUGAGUUCGGGAGAGGUGAGUGGAACUGCGAGUGUAGAGGUGAAAUUCGUAGAUAUUCGGAAGAACACCAGUGGCGAAGGCGGCUCACUGGCCCGGUACUGACGCUGAUGUGCGAAAGCGUGGGGAGCAAACAGG